GUGGCCUAACAUAUUGAAAAAAAUUUGAAGAUUCAGAAAAAUUAUAUUGCAUAUAUAUGAGAGGGAUGACCACUAAGUGGACAUCCAAUAUGCUAGAUGUAGACCCCCAUAUGGUCGGAGCACCAAGAAAAGAUUGUUCCCAAUAAAAUUCUUAAAACCAAACAAAUAAU